AUGCUUCAGGAGUAUAACGAAAAAGGGUUUCUCCGCCUUGUAUUAGAAAGCAUCCAUCCGAAACAAAUAACGAUAGGUACCUGGGAUGGAAGCAGCACAGUCACGUUCAAAAAAAAUGAAAUAGAAAAUACAAAAGAAAAAAAUGCCGAUAACGGCGGAUCGACAAAAACGCGAAGCCUCGCGACCGCUGCGUCCACGGAAGAUCGCUCACCAAGCUCCGAGACUCCCAAGCGCCGGUAUCAAACAACAUCUCCAGGAAGAUCCGGCGGCACCCUCACGCGCCACCGCGUCGGUGUUGGUCAAGCCAACAGAGAUUUCUCCCGAUCCCAACCUUCACCUCAGGCACUCCGGAGCUCGCCACCAAACCGACCUUCGCCCUGCGCCAACACGGUCAUGAAGUUUCCGACGCUGUCUCACCACAGCACCACGAAGUAUGGCCUGCACAACAAAGAAGAGGAACCGAGACUAGGGCAGCAGCACCAUCAGCACGCGGGAGGGCUCCACCUCCACCGUCUACGACGGUAG
rnacentral:rRNA from 1 species